GCGACAGCGGCGCUGCGUCUCGCGGCCCGUCCCGAGCACGCGCAGGCCAAGACGGGAUGGGCGCGCGGUUCCCACAAUCCUGCGCGGCCCAAGAAUCGGUAUUUGCAUACGCGGUGACGGUUCCCCGGGCCAAUUUCUACCUCACAAACAGCGCUUACGCGGAAAAGGGACACAGGUGGAAGCGUCAGGUGGGCUUUGUGCCGCGUCCUGUCCUAACUGGGGCCCGGGGUGCGACCGCCCAUUUGGUCACCCUGAUGCGCAAAGCUGCGCCUCGGCUCCCCUCUCCCGCCGGCGGGCUAGUUCCGUAUGCCUUAAACUUAUGAGUAUUAUUGUGACGGGGCUGUGGAGCCUCCACCGCGGUCCCCGAGCCCCACACUACGGCCAGGCCCGAGGCGGCUCUAUGUGGGGAGGCUGUAGCCGAGCACCAGACCAGUGCUGCCUGCUCCGGGGCCGCUCUGCGGAGGCGGCCCGAGGCACGGGAUGACAUCAUGGCCAGCGCCGGGGGCCGGCGGGGCGGGGUAUAAAGUGAGCCACGAGAGGCCCCAGAGGUGGGAGGAGGAAGCCAGAGAGGCGGAGAAGGAAGCCAGGGAGGUGGAAGUCAAAAGCGUGGAAGGGGGAGCCAGAAAGAGUCUGGAGCCCGGAACGCGCAGCAGCUCGGCGGAGGGGCCGCAGCACCGGACAGAGGAGCCGGCUUCGCCAGAGGUGACUCCUGACAGCCGGAGGGGCAGACGCAGAGACAGGACAUGGCGGAGGAGAGGAAGUGACCCAGGACUGAGCAUCGGAGCCAGGAGGUCACUUGAGAGUUGUUGCAGACUAACUCGUCUACCCCUCUGAAGCUUUUAAUUAAAGUUAUAGGAAAAGGCUCAAACCCAUUUGAGCAGGUCUGAGAUCAUAUCCAGUAGAAGAUUAUGCUUCUAUACAGUGGGAAGAUAGACAGACACAUAUAAACGAAGCAUAUUUCAUAAAGAUAUAUGAGACACAAGAUGGUGAAAUAAUGUAUUUUAUUGGACCAACAUCUGUUGGUGAAAAGGAAAAGCUUUUAGCUACCCAGGAACUGCAAUAAACAUACAUGGCUGUGUCUACACUGGCAAGUUAUUCCGGAAAAUCAGCCGCUUUUCUGGAAAAACUUGCCAGCUGUCUA